AGGACCCCCAGAUUGCAGACAUCUUGGCAACAGCUGGAAAUGUAGUGACCAUUACCAUCAUGCCUUCCAGUAUUUAUGAAUAUAUAAUAAAGAGGAUGGCACCUAGCAUUAUGAAAAGCCUGAUGGAUCACUCUGUUCCUGAAGUCUAAACGUGCAUCAUGUAUGUGUGUGUACAUAUAUAUAAUGAUGAUUCCACUAAACUUGGGCUAUUAUACUCAGUGAUCUCUUUCUUCUGCACAUGAGCCUUUCUGGAGGCUAAAAGAAGAUAUGCUGCAUCGAGCAUUUGCAUCUAUAAUGGCUGGGAAUGUUACAGUUCAACAUAUCUCGUUUAUUCACAAACUGUAAAACUUGUAGCCUUAUAUGCUUGACAAAUGUGAAAUUCCAAUUGUGUUAUGACUCCUUUUCGUAGGUCUUUUACUUAGUUCACUACUACUAUAAGCCAUUGCAACUAAAGGAACCAGAUAUCACUUGCAAAGUUACGUGUUGUUACCUAGAACAAUGCUGUGCUUUGUAUGUUUAAGACAAAUGAGUAUUUUUACUGCUUUCUGUUUGCAAGAGUAGAUUUGAAAUAGCAUAUUAGAAGUAUGGCUAGUACUAGUUAAUGUUUUUGUUCUAGUAAAUACUGUUUACACAAGAAUGCCAGCUAAGCUGAAUAUAGCUAGAGGCAUCAUUCAGUAAGUAAGCAUAUUAAAUCAAAGUAGUGUACAGAUACUCAAAUCUUUUUAUUACUUGUUAUACAAAUUGCAACUAAUAUGCUUAUCUUUCGCCUUAACCAUGUUCUUAAAGAUUCAGAAAUAACCAAAUAAAUGACUGAAACUUUA